rnacentral:rRNA from 1 species
GAUUUUGGUCAUGGCUCAGGAUGAACGCUGGCGGCGUGCCUUAAGCAUGCAAGUCGAACGGCUCCGCAAGGAGCAGUGGCGGACGGUCGAGUAACGCGUGGGGAUCUACCUUGAAGUUGGACACAGCUCAUCGAAAGGUGGGGUAAUUUCCAAUGUGAACGUAAGUUCAAAGCCGCAAGGCGCUUUAAGAUGAACCCGCGUCCUAUCAGCUAGUUGGUGAGGUAAUGGCUCACCAAGGCAUCGACGGGUAGCUGGUCUGAGAGGAUGAUCAGCCGGAAUAGCACUGAGACACGGGCUAUACACCUACGGGUGGCAGCAACUGGGAAUCUUGCGCAAUGGACGAAAGUCUGACGCAGCGACGCCGCGUGGAGGAUUGAAGGCCCUCGGGUUGUAAACUCCUUUUGACUGGGAAGAUUAUGACUGUACCAGUAGAAUAAGCACCUGCUAACUACGUGCCAGAAGCCUCGGUAAUACGUAGGGUGCAAGCGUUAUCCGGAUUUAUUGGGCGUAAAGUGUUGCGUAGGCUGAUUUGCGCAUUUUGUUUAAAAGGCUAAGGCUCAACCUUAGUUUUGGGCAAAAUAUGGCAAAUCUUGAUGGUUUAAGAGGGUACUGGAACUUAACAUGUAGCAGUGAAAUGCGUUGAUAUGUUAAGGAACACCAAAGGCGUAGGCAGGUACCUGGGAAACUCAUUACGCUGAGGCACGACAGCUUGGGGAGCGAAAA